rnacentral:lncRNA from 1 species
AGCAAUGCUAAUACUCAGUUAUCCCACUUGGAGUUCAACUUUAAUCCUUCCAACAUCUUUGGAAUGUCAAAUGGAACAUGUCCAGGUAUCCGUCUCGCCACACUUUGGUCACUUUGACCAAAAGUAGAUUAUUACUACGAGGAUUCAAUAUCUUACAUCCUCCCCUCCUUAAAAAGAGUUUCGUCCUCGAAACUAACCUAACUUAAACAUAAACUCAUACCUCGACUCACUCCUUAAAGA